GACUUGGAGGCUGGGCUGAUGAGGAGAAAGCUCCGGAGACUUCUACACUGCAAACUCCUGGGCAGAAGGCUGUGGAUGAAAUACUGCCACACCUGGGAUUUUUUCAGACAUCAGCCCGUGGUACAGCACCCGCGGCACUCGGCUCAGGCGCCCUGUGCGGGAGGAACGAGGCUCUGGCAGCGCUGCUGGGAGCGGACCCAUCCUCCGCGUCAGCCCAGUGCCACCUACAGCAGCCAGAGCAGAAGCUGCAGCACCGGCAAACCCAUGGAAACAAUUCCAGCACUUCCAGUCAAAGGCGUGUUCACAUCACUGAGUGGCCUUGGAGGAGCCAGAGCAGAAGCUGCAGCACUGGCAAACCGAUGGAAGCAAUUCCAGCACGCUCCAGCCAAAGGCGUGUUCACAUUGAUAGUAAAAGGUUUUAAAAUCAUAGAAAAUUCGGGGAAUGUGAAAGAAAGUUAGGCUUAGCAGGCCCUGGGGAAUGUUAGGCUUGUAUUUGCUAGAUCAUGUGAAACUGCCCCUGUGUAGUCAGUAUAUGAUAAAUUAUAGAACUGUUAGAUGUGAUUAGAUAUAAUUAUUGCUUAAAGAAUCAUGGGGAACUCUAACACACUUUAACACACUACUUAAGGAAAUUAAUGCAGCACAACUUUCUAACAUAACACAUAUAAUAUUAAUAUUUGCAAAAAGCCAAUCAUAAAAGAGGCAUUUUUCACACAAGCAUGCAUAUUUGCUAAUCAUGUGAAACUGUGCCUGUGUGGUCAGUAUAUGAUAAAUGAUAUAAUUGUUAGAUGUGAUUAGAUAUAAUUAUUGUUUAAAGAAUCAUGAGAAACUAUGUCAGGGGUUUGAGGGGGAUCAUGAGAAAUCCAUGCUUGGAUGAAAUCAGUGCAUACAACAGAACAAUGUAAUUUUAAUAAUUAAUAUGUAAGCUAUAUAAUGAUAGAAUAUAAAACAUGUUUGGCUCCAAACCAUGUCAGGUCAGAUUUGGGUCUGUGCACCCCUGACACCCAGAGCUCUUCAAUAAAAGCACCUGCAUGUAAUAA